rnacentral:rRNA from 1 species
UACGGGGGGGGCAAGCGUUGCUCGGAAUUACUGGGCGUAAAGCGCACGUAGGCGGCUUUUUAAGUCGGAGGUGAAAUCCUGGAGCUCAACUCCAGAACUGCCUUCGAUACUGAAGAGCUCGAGUCCGGGAGAGGUGAGUGGAACUGCGAGUGUAGAGGUGAAAUUCGUAGAUAUUCGCAAGAACACCAGUGGCGAAGGCGGCUCACUGGCCCGGUACUGACGCUGAGGUGCGAAAGCGUGGGGAGCAAACAGG